GAAGUAUCUAGAGUGAAGCAGGAGUUUCUAACUCUUUGUUUAAGUGGUUAAAUUCCAUUUAUAUUUCG
rnacentral:tRNA from 1 species